rnacentral:rRNA from 1 species
AUUGAACGCUGGCGGCAGGCCUAACACAUGCAAGUCGAACGGUAACAGGAAGAAGCUUGCUUCUUUGCUGACGAGUGGCGGACGGGUGAGUAAUGUCUGGGAAACUGCCUGAUGGAGGGGGAUAACUACUGGAAACGGUAGCUAAUACCGCAUAACGUCGCAAGACCAAAGAGGGGGACCUUCGGGCCUCUUGCCAUCGGAUGUGCCCAGAUGGGAUUAGCUAGUAGGUGGGGUAACGGCUCACAUAGGCGACGAUCCCUAGCUGGUCUGAGAGGAUGACCAGCCACACUGGAACUGAGACACGGUCCAGACUCCUACGGGAGGCAGCAGUGGGGAAUAUUGCACAAUGGGCGCAAGCCUGAUGCAGCCAUGCCGCGUGUAUGAAGAAGGCCUUCGGGUUGUAAAGUACUUUCAGCGGGGAGGAAGGGAGUAAAGUUAAUACCUUUGCUCAUUGACGUUACCCGCAGAAGAAGCGCCGGCUAACUCCGUG